UUAAAUUGAAGAGUUUGAUCAUGGCUCAGAUUGAACGCUGGCGGCAGGCCUAACACAUGCAAGUCGAGCGGAAACGAGUUAUCUGAACCUUCGGGGAACGAUAACGGCGUCGAGCGGCGGACGGGUGAGUAAUGCCUAGGAAAUUGCCCUGAUGUGGGGGAUAACCAUUGGAAACGAUGGCUAAUAC
rnacentral:rRNA from 1 species